rnacentral:rRNA from 1 species
UAUCUAGUUGGUGAGGUAACGGCUCACCAAGGCGACGAUGCGUAGCCGACCUGAGAGGGUGAUCGGCCACACUGGGACUGAGACACGGCCCAGACUCCUACGGGAGGCAGCAGUAGGGAAUCUUCCGCAAUGGACGAAAGUCUGACGGAGCAACGCCGCGUGAGUGAUGAAGGUUUUCGGAUCGUAAAGCUCUGUUGUUAGGGACGAACAAGUGCAAGAGUAACUGCUUGCACCUUGACGGUACCUAACCAGAAAGCCACGGCUAACUACGUGCCAGCAGCCGCGGUAAUACGUAGGUGGCAAGCGUUGUCCGGAAUUAUUGGGCGUAAAGGGCUCGCAGGCGGUUUCUUAAGUCUGAUGUGAAAGCCCCCGGCUCAACCGGGGAGGGUCAUUGGAAACUGGGAAACUUGAGUGCAGAAGAGGAGAGUGGAAUUCCACGUGUAGCGGUGAAAUGCGUAGAGAUGUGGAGGAACACCAGUGGCGAACGCGACUCUCUGGUCUGUAACUGACUCUGAGGAGCGAAAGCGUGGGGAGCGAACAGGAUUAUAUACCCUGGUAGUCCACGCCGUAAACGAUGAGUG